rnacentral:rRNA from 1 species
CCUACGGGAGGCAGCAGUGAGGAAUAUUGGUCAAUGGGCGUAAGCCUGAACCAGCCAAGUCGCGUGAGGGAUGAAGGUUCUAUGGACCGUAAACCUCUUUUAUAAGGGAGUAAAGUGUGGGACGUGUCCUGUUUUGUAUGUACCUCAUGAAUAAGGAUCGGCUAACUCCGUGCCAGCAGCCGCGGUAAUACGGAGGAUCCGAGCGUUAUCCGGAUUUAAUGGGUUUAAAGGGUGCGUAGGCGGCCUUUUAAGUCAGCGGGGAAAGUCUGUGGCUCAACCAUGGAAUUGCCGUUGAAACUGGGAGGCUUGAGGAUGUUUGAGGCAGGCGGAAUGCGUGGUGUAGCGGUGGAAUGCUUAGAUAUCACGCAGAACCCCGAUUGCGAAGGCAGCCUGCCAAGCCAUGACUGACGCUGAUGCACGAAAGCGUGGGGAUCAAACAGGAUUAGAUACCCCUGUAGUC